GCCCGCCGGGAGUUAUAGUCUCGGGCUGCGAGCCACCGGUCUGUUCUCCGCGCCCGGGAGUUGCACUCCCGCGAGUGGAGUGAACGGGUCCUUCGCCCCUGUGCGGGGAGGGACCUCGGUCAGCACCGCCCCUCCAGAAUGCCGGCUUUGGAAACGUCAAGUAUGUGGCAGAUUGUCUGUUGGCAACAAAGAAGCUGGAAAAUGACAGCCGUGGCCACCCAAUGAAGGCCUGGAUAUAAUCGAGAGAGAGCAAAACCUCUGUACUUUCUGCUCCAUUGAAGAACCCGAAGGGAGAAAGCUGUCUGGUUCUGUCUGCUGUUGUCAUCGUGGCCGAAAAAGAGGGGAACUGAGGGUGCCAGGACUCACCUCCCCCCCCAACCCCCAAAUAAAAUCCCUCAAAAAACUACCAACAAACGAACUUGACUUUCGUCCCGUCCCGUGUCGCCCUCCCCAAAUUCGGAUUUCUGGGGUCUCCCAGCGCCCUUAUUGGGGCUCCCCCCUCAGGGCUCCCUGCGCUGCCACCUUCCCACGAGGUCGGCGAGGAUACGAUGGCCCCCAGACGUGCGGGAGCAGCAGUUGGGAAAUCAUGACGGGAAGGGUCCGGUCCCCCACCUGCCAUCUCUAUGACUUCCGCGUGGCGAAGGGGAGUCCCGGUCCUCCGAACAUUCGAAUAACUGUAUGAUUCCGAUCGGGCGGGGGGCGUUUCCGGUCCUCUACUCCUUAUCUCUA